rnacentral:rRNA from 1 species
GAUGAACGCUGGCGGCGUGCCUAAUACAUGCAAGUCGAGCGAACAGAUGAGGAGCUUGCUCCUCUGACGUUAGCGGCGGACGGGUGAGUAACACGUGGAUAACCUACCUAUAAGACUGGGAUAACUUCGGGAAACCGGAGCUAAUACCGGAUAAUAUAUUGAACCGCAUGGUUCAAUAGUGAAAGACGGUUUUGCUGUCACUUAUAGAUGGAUCCGCGCCGCAUUAGCUAGUUGGUAAGGUAACGGCUUACCAAGGCAACGAUGCGUAGCCGACCUGAGAGGGUGAUCGGCCACACUGGAACUGGGACACGGUCCAGACUCCUAAGGGAGGCAGCAGUAGGGAAUCUUCCGCAAUGGGCGGAAGCCUGACGGAGCAACGGCGCGGGGGUGAAGAAGGUCUUCGGAUCGUAAAACUCUGUUAUUAGGGAAGAACAAAUGUGUAAGUAACUAAGCACGGCUUGACGGUAACUAAUCAGAAAGGCACGGCUAACUACGUG